rnacentral:lncRNA from 10 species
ACCUGGAGUGCUAAGUCUAUACGAACAGGAACACCCCUUGGAGCAAUAACACCCAAAUACCUGAAAUGUGAAGAUGACAAGCAUGAGUAUCCUCUCCUUUUGUGCCUGAAUUUCCUGCUUUAAUCAGAAAAAAAUACUUUUAAAAAGUGCAGGCAAUGGUGAGGUUAAUUUCUUGUUUAAAAUAUUUUAAUUAUCACACUGCAAUGAUGGAAAUAAAUCUGUUCACUCUAGCAAGUAUAUAACAUUAUCACAAAAAGCCAAAGGAAAAGGAAAUGCGUAAGAGAGAAAGGGGAUGAGAGAGAAGCAGGACACAAAAAUUACAGUGCAGGGAACAAGAGCAAAACGAAAAAAUACCACACUAGCAGUUAAACUGACCCCAGAGGUAGAUAUUCACAUUCACUCUGAGUUAACUGUUUUCUGUCUUCAGAGUUCACAGUGCAAGAUCAUGCUAAAAGACUAACCAAGAAGGAGUGGAGGGAAGAUUUGAAGUCCAGGUGACUUGAGACCAAGUUCUGAUUGGAGAACUUAGGUGUCCGUAGCCAAGUUAUUUAAACUUUUCUGCUCCUCAGUUCCAACUUUCUCAAAAUGAGUAGAUAACGAUUACUGUAUCUCACCUGAAUAUUAUGAAAAGUCUGUACGAUAAAAUAUGAUGAUGGUUAUACAAUGAUAAUGUAAACUUCUUAAUAAUACAAAUGUUAGUAACUGUUAUUUACAUGUAUUCAAUAGUCAACUUUGGAGUAAUCACCCUAUUGAUUCAGCACACACUGAAUUCCACAACAAAGCAAAUUAUUUACACUCUGCAUGCCCUAAUUUUUAAAUAAAAUAUUGUGG